CAAAGAGCUUGUAGGUGGUCCCCCAGCAGGCCAUGGGUCUAGAUCAGAGCCAUUAUGGAGAACUGUCGGGGUGCAGCUGUAAACACCACAUCUCCAGGAGCAGGCGGAGCAUCGCAGUGGACUAGCAAUGCAAGAGGGAGACAGGAAAACCACUGUCCACGACAGCACGUGUUCAAAAAGUGUGUUUGCCAUGUUUCCGGUUGCUGGACUCUUAGAAGAUGGCAAGUGAGAGACACUCUGUUCUAUUGGUCAGAAAUGCAAAGGAACAGAGCACAGUCCUAAAGGCAAAGCAGAAAAAAUGCCAUUGGAAUAGGAGGAGUGAAUAGUGAUUUCCUAAGAAAAAGAGAUCUGCAGUAAUUGUCCAUGGUGGAAAAAUGAAGCACAGGCAUGCAGAUGAACUACACUUCCCAGCCUCCUUUGCGUUACUUAUGGUCAUAUGACUAAGUUCUAGCCAAUGGAACAUGAGUGGAAGUGAUGCAAUAGGCACCCCGUCUAGGCUUGACCCGUAACAACUUCUCACCGUGGUCCUCCAUGUACCUUUCUGUCUGCUGGAUGAUGACACCUGGGCAACCCUGAAAGCCACAAGUUGAAAACUGCAGGACCCCUGUCAGCCUGGGUUCUUGAAUAACUGUAUGGACCAGAGACACUCCACCCCCACUCCUCACCAUCCCAGUGCCAAUGGGCUUUGCUUAAGAGAGAAAUAAACUUUCACUCUGUUAAUCUUUUGAAAUGUCGGGGUUUGUUAGUAACUACAAUUAGCCUACUUGAACUAAUACAGGCUGCAAGGAUAUAGGCAAGUCUGUACCAUGAGACCAUGCACCAGCCUAGUAUUUCUGGAGGCAGAGCCCUGAACACAG
rnacentral:lncRNA from 1 species